GGCGACUUGGCGCACGUCGGAAGAAAUUCAAAGUUUUAAUGAGACUUAUUUUAUAUUUCUCGAAACUGAAAAGUUAGGAAAGGCCUGUAGUAAAUCAUGUUUCCGAGGGUGGUGACCAGAACUGUACAAAUACUCCUGAUGCAGCAUGACCAAUGUCUUUUACAGCUGUAACAUGACAGCCCAAAUCGUACACUCAGUGUCUUGAUAUACGAAGCUACACUUCUGCCGUAUAAAACUUUGGCUAGGCCACACUUGUGUGCUGUUCUGAGCGCUACAACACAAGGAAGAUGUGGAGACUUUGGAAAGGGUGCAGAAGAGGUUUACCAGCAAGUUGCCUAGAAGAAGAGGUUAUACAAACUUUAAUUGUUUUCUCAGGAACAUCAAUGGCUGAGGGGUGACCUGAUAGAAAUUUAUAAAAAUAAGAGGGGUAUUAAUUUGACAGGAUGGAAAUGGAGGGGACAGGUUUAAUGUGAGAAGGGGAAACUUUAAAGAGGAUUUAGUUUUAGAUUAUGAGGACACACAGUCCUCUUUUAUUGUCAUUUAGUAAUGCAUGCAUUGAGAAAUGAUACAAUGUUUUUCCAGAAUGAUAUCACAGAAACACAUGACAAACCGACUUAAAAACUGACAAAAACCACAUACGUUAUAACAUGUAGUUACAACAGUGCAAAGCAAUACCGUAAUUUGAUAAGAACAGACCAUGGGCACGGUAAAAGUCUCAAAGUCUCUCGAAAGUCCUAUCAUCUCACACAGACGGUGAACCUCCAGCGCCGCAAACUUGCCAAUGCAGCAUCCCGGAAGCAUCCGACCACAGUCUGACUCCGAGUCCGUCCGAAUACUCCCAUCCUCCGACCAGCUCUCCGACACCGAGCACCAUCUCUGCCGAGCGCUUCGACCCCGGCCCUGGCAACAGGCAAUAGGCAAAGCCGAGGAUUUGGGGCCUUCCCCUCCGAAGAUUCUCGAUCGCACAGUAGCAGUGGCAGCGAAGCGGGCAUUUCAGAAGUUUCUCCAGGUGUUCCUCCGUGCUUCUCACGGCUGUCUCCAUCAAAUCAGGAUUGUGCACGGCAUCCUAGUUAACACAUAUCGAUAUCAAUUCAGAACGGCUGCGCGCGCUGCGUCACGUCGCCAUCUUCUCCUCCUUCCUUUUAUGAUGCAAAUGUUUAAUUUUUACACAGAAAAUUGUAGGUUCCUGGAAUGCACUACCAGGGGAAUUGAUGGAAACAGAAACGACUGUGGUAGGUCAGCAGGAGGCAAUUAGGCAGGCACAUGAACAGGCAGGAAAUGGAGGGACAUGGAUCACGUGCAGGCAGAUGGGGUU